rnacentral:rRNA from 1 species
UCAGACGAUGCGUCAUGCAUAUCAAUAAGCGGAGGAAAAGAAACUAACAAGGAUUCCCCUAGUAACGGCGAGUGAAGCGGGAAGAGCUCAAAUUUGAAAUCUUAAAGGGUUUCCCUUUACGAAUUGUAGUUUAAAGAAGUGUUUUCUGUUGAGGUUUUGGUAAAAGUUCUUUGGAAUAGGACAUCAUAGAGGGUGAGAAUCCCGUAUUUGACCUUUACUUUCAACUUUGUGAUACACUUUCAAAGAGUUGGAUUGUUUGGGAAUGCAGUCCAAAAUGGGUGGUAAAUUUCAUCUAAAGCUAAAUAUUGGCGAGAGACCGAUAGCGAACAAGUACCGUGAGGGAAAGAUGAAAAGAACUUUGAAAAGAGAGUUAAACAGUACGUGAAAUUGUCAAAAGGGAAGCGUUUGACACCAGUGUUGUUUUUCUGAAAAUCAAUUAAAGAACUGUUUAUGCUAAGCUGUUUAGACUUUAUCAGCUAUACUGUUUAGUUUUGAGCUUUUCUUAAUGCACUUUUCAGUUAACAAGUCAACAUCAAUUUCUUUUGCUGUAAAAAAGCUUGAGGAAGGUGGCUUGAGAUUCGUCUUAAGUGUUUAUAGCCCCUUGCCUAUGCAGUCGGAGAGAUUGAGGUCUGCAGCGUAGAUCCUUCGGGGCUAAACGCAUUUGUGCUAAGUUAUAGCAUUUUAUAGACAACUUGUUGACUAUGAUUUGUCUUGUAGCUUACUCGCUUAUGUUAUUUUACCUACGCUUAGGAUGUUGAAUCUGUGCGAGACUAC